rnacentral:rRNA from 1 species
UACGAAGGGGGCUAGCGUUGCUCGGAAUCACUGGGCGUAAAGCGCACGUAGGCGGCUUUGUAAGUUAGAGGUGAAAGCCCGGGGCUCAACCCCGGAACUGCCUUUAAGACUGCAUCGCUUGAAUCCAGGAGAGGUGAGUGGAAUUCCGAGUGUAGAGGUGAAAUUCGUAGAUAUUCGGAAGAACACCAGUGGCGAAGGCGGCUCACUGGCCUGGUAUUGACGCUGAGGUGCGAAAGCGUGGGGAGCAAACAGG